UGGGACAGGAUUUUUUCCCUUUCCCUUCCUCUGUGGAUGCUUUCAUGGAUAUUUUUAUAAAGUCAGGGAUUUAGGGCAGUGCAAACACAGCAGUCCCCUCCCGUGUUCACACAGAGUUGCUCCCCAAACACCUAAACCUGCCCCACCCAUUUAUGGACCAUCAGGGCCCAGAGUGAAAUAAAAGCUGAAAUUUGGGAAAUUUUUGCCCAGGACCUGUCUGGGCUGGGGUUUUUCUGUUUUCCUGCCCUGCACACAAGGAUCUCUUGGUGCAGACAGCACUUGCUCCCCGUGAAUGGGCAUCAUUCAGAGUCCUCCAUAAAUGAAGCCUCUAUGGCUGUUCUUGCGGGGAAAAUAUAAAGUUGCUCUGUGUCAUUCUGCUGUUAAUUAGCAAAGAUAAAUACAUUUCAGGUGGGAAUUUUCACCAGCACAGCUCGUGGCACAUAAGCAGCAUUAAAGCCUUGGAAAGAGGGCGAGAGGCAAAGGUGUGCUGGGAGCUCUGGGGCUGCAUUGAUGCCUCUGGAAAAGCAGUGUUUAUUUUUAAAAUAUGAAACAUCAUUUCUCCCCAGGCCCCCGAGAAGGAGAACACUGGAGUCAAUAUUUCAGGAGGAAAAUGUGCAUUUCGAGCUCUUCCCCAGCCUGACUGCAAGAGGUGCUGCUUUCACACACCGAAUCCACACUUCCCCUUCACUGAUGGAGAGACAGAAAAUUUUGGUCCCACCUUGCUCCUGCUGAAGGCAAAAGGUUCAGAGUCCCCCAUGAUGGUCAUUGCCCUGGACCAGAAAUUCUUCUCCAAGGGGAUCUGGAGGGUGCCUGAGUUCCACAGGCGAGGCAGAAUAAAAAGGCUGGGAAGGGAGCAGUGGCCAAACUCUGAGUUGUUUGCUGUUGGUUUUUAUUUCAUUCUAAACAAACCUGGGACUUGUAGUAAACACAGCCCUGCUGCCCUCCAGCCUCCAGAAAGCUCCAAGGUUUUACAAAAUGCUCCAAAACUUCUGCCUAUUUCUGGCUGCCUUUGAUGUUCCAGGUGAGUGCUCCAAGCUGGAUUCCCACUCCACUUUUCACCCCGCAGAGAAAUGAUGACAAAAGCUCCAAUUCUUGUGUUUUA